CAAUAGCGUAUAUUAAAGUUGUUGCGGUUAAAAAGCUCGUAGUUGGAUUUCUGCCGAGGACGACCGGUCCGCCCUCUGGGUGAGUAUCUGGCUCGGCCUGGGCAUCUUCUUGGAGAACGUAUCUGCACUUGACUGUGUGGUGCGGUAUCCAGGACUUUUACUUUGAGGAAAUUAGAGUGUUUCAAGCAGGCAUACGCCUUGAAUACAUUAGCAUGGAAUAAUAAGAUAGGACCUCGGUUCUAUUUUGUUGGUUCUAGAGCUGAGGUAAUGAUUAAGAGGGACAGUUGGGGGUAUUCGUAUUAUCAUGUCAGAGGUGAAAUUCUUGGAUUUUGGUAAGACGAACUACUGCGAAAGCAUUUACCAAGGAUGUUUUCAUUAAUCAAGAACGAAAGUUAGGGGAUCGAAGAUGAUCAGAU
rnacentral:rRNA from 1 species